rnacentral:rRNA from 1 species
UAAAGGAAGCGAUUCCGGCUACGGAUGGUCAUGCGUCGCAUUAGCUAGUUGGCGGGGUAACGGCCCACCAAGGCGACGAUGCGUAGGGGUUCUGAGAGGAAGGUCCCCCACACUGGUACUGAGACACGGACCAGACUCCUACGGGAGGCAGCAGUGAGGAAUAUUGGUCAAUGGCCGCAGGGCUGAACCAGCCAAGUCGCGUGAGGGAUGACGGUUCUAUGGAUUGUAAACCUCUUUUGUCAGGGAGCAAAGGGCGCCACGUGUGGCGCUUUGCGAGUACCUGAAGAAAAAGCAUCGGCUAACUCCGUGCCAGCAGCCGCGGUAAUACGGAGGAUGCGAGCGUUAUCCGGAUUUAUUGGGUUUAAAGGGUGCGCAGGCGGAAUGUCAAGUCAGCGGUAAAAUUUCGGGGCUCAACCCCGUCGUGCCGUUGAAACUGGCGUUCUUGAGUGAGCGAGAAGUAUGCGGAAUGCGUGGUGUAGCGGUGAAAUGCAUAGAUAUCACGCAGAACUCCGAUUGCGAAGGCAGCAUACCGGCGCUCAACUGACGCUCAUGCACGAAAGCGUGGGUAUCGAACAGGAUUAGAUACCCUGGUAGUCCACGCAGU